GGAAACUGCACCAUGGGUUCACCCAAGAAACAGACCAGAGGCAACACAUUCUAUCACUAAAACGUGUUCUCAGUUACACUUCCCUUCCAAAGGUAUCUCUGUUCAAGCCAACACCCGCUAGCUUAUGCUGAGUCUUUUUUUCCUGAAGAUACUCCUAAAGAAUACUCCAUGAUCUCAUCAGUAACACCAGCCCAUGUGACCGUAACUCUCACUCAACGAGGAGAAAAUAUACAAAGAGAAGAUGAAGAGACAACCAAACAGGAUUAUUUGUGCCCAUGAGGGAAACACGAAGGAUUGUCAGUAUUCAUUUGCUAUCAGAACUGCCUUUGAACUUCAGGGAAGCCGCCAUCUUGUUUUAGUUCACUCCUCUAAAGCACAGUGUCUGCAACAUGAAACACUAGUAAGACACAGUUAUCCAGAAAGAGCCCUAGAGAUGGAUAAGGAACCUGUUGGAAUGCUCUGAUAUUAAGAAAAAAAAAAUUAAAUUCAAAACCAAAAACAAGUCACAAGAUGUAGACAGAGGGCUGACACAAGACUGUUGUGGCCACUGGUGAGCAGUGAGAAAGAUGUCUCCGUCAAUGACUUCUUCCCAAGCCGGCUGAUGGGUAGCACAGGAAGGCUGUGACCUGUCUCGGAAGCAGUCUAGCCCAGCACAAAAAUCACAGGCUUUGAAGCCAAAAGGGAAUAUUUGUUUCUGAUGCUUGACCCUCUCCAAUUUGUUACAGUGUCCACAAGAAGUUUUUUCCUGGAAGUCUUUUUUUCAGAGAAAUCUAUGUACCACGGCUGUGUUCAAACAUGAUACAGAGACCCCAAAUGCCACUUGCUUGCUGUCUUCCUGGGAACAGGAUGAGGAUGUAAUCUGAGCUUUUUAGGGUCUAUCUCUACAUUGCAACAUCAUAACACUGAAGUGUAGAUUUAUAGCUGCUUUAUGUAUAUUUUCUUACUCCCAAAGCCCCCCUUUUUACAGAUACAUACACAACAUGUCAUGUAGAAAAAUAUAAAUUGUUGACCGUACAGGCACUUUCUUCCUUUUUAAACCUUUCCAAAGGUCUUUUUGUUAAAUACACCCAGAUGCCGUUUGACAGAUGAGGGGCUAAUUGCUCUGUGAAUUACCUCUAUCGAUUCCUGUUUCAUGUUGAGCCAAACAAACAAAAGAUAUUAAUGCUUUGAAAAAAAUGAAUGAUGACCUUUCUCUGCAAA
ensembl:lncRNA LINC00924 long intergenic non-protein coding RNA 924